UGGUAAAACCAUUACAUACAAAUUAGGAAGUAAAAUUUUUGGGGAAUUCAAUAUAAGACUAAUAGUACCAACUACCAAGGCAUCCUCUAUGGUUGAAAAUUAUGCAUAAUGGUUCCAGAUUUUACAUAUUGUCAAGAUUAUUUCAUAACAUCAAUGUUAUAAAUAUCAUUCCCAUUGUUCUAUGUGCAUAGGCACAAUUUCAAAUUCGAUCAUACAAAAGAUAUGUUUGUCUUUGUUGGUUAGUCUCGGGGUGUUAUUCAAAACAUAAAUCAAAUCUCGUCUACAUCACUUCCAUUUGUAACUCCCUUUACACAUUUAAAAAAAAAAGAAAAUCAAUUUGAAUAUAUACUGUUUUAGUAGGUCAACGUAUUACAAUAUACAAGUGGUACCUUACAUAAGUUACAAUGUUACUUCCCUUCGAUCAAAUUUGGUCAACACCAUAUUAAAGUUGGCGCACCGUAAGCCAGGCCCAGGCCCAAUUCAUAAGCGGGCUAUUAAGUUUUUUUGACUUAAAAUUCCCAACAAUUUUUGACUCCAACAAUUAUCUUCACUCCCAGAAAAUGAAGCUUUCUGCACAGUCUCAUUAUCAACUUCAACUUCUUGCUACCUGAAAAAUGGAAGCUUACACGAGGUUCAUCAUCAGCUAUAUUACCCCACAUUUAUCAGUUUUUUCAAUUUCAAGUGUAAAUUGGAUAAUCAAGGAUAUGGACUCCAAUGAGGCAUGGGAUGCAGAAAAUGGAAUCGUCAGUGACUCAAGCAACGAGCCUAAAAUUAUCCAGACGGCACAUAGUUUGUCAUCUUCAUUGCUUAGGAAAAAGUCUGAUGUGGCCCUGGGGUUGAACAUCAGGUCUUUGUUGGUUAGGAGAAUUCUGAAAAAUCUUCAAGAUGUUAUCCUUGGAACCAAGAUUUGUGCUCUCUUUGUGGCCAUCCCCUUCGCUAUAGUGGCCGAAUAUCACAAUUUUGGAAGACAGGCCUGGGUCUUUGCUUUGAGUUUAAUCGGACUUGCCCCUCUAGCGGAACGAGUUAGCUUUCUUACCGAGCAAAUUGCAUAUUAUACUGGCUCAACAGUUGGGGGGCUGCUAAAUGCAACUUGUGGCAAUGCAACAGAACUCAUAAUAGCUAUAUUCGCACUCCACCAAGGGAAGAUAGCUGUGCUGAAGUACUCUCUUCUGGGAUCAAUUCUUUCAAACCUUCUUCUAGUUCUUGGUUCUUCUCUAUUUUGUGGUGGCUUGGCCAACAUGAGCGAGGAGCAAAAAUUUGACAGAAAUCAAGCCGAUGUAAAUAUACUUCUCCUCUUUCUUGGAGUUCUUUGUCAUGCAUUGCCAUUGUUUACUCAACAUUCUGAGGAUGCUGCAGGGACGGCAUUCUCUGCUAGCUCCAUACUCCUGCUGUCAAGAGUGAACAGCAUUGUCCUGCUCGUGGCUUAUAUUGCAUAUCUGUUCUUUCAGCUGAAGACCCACCGACAAUUGUUUGAUUCUGAAGAGGAACCUGAUGAUAAUUGUGAGGAUGGGAGGGCAAUAAUUGGUUUUUGGAGUGCAUUUAGCUGGUUGGUAGGCAUGACAGUAGUGAUAGCUUUGCUUUCUGAAUAUAUUGUUGGCACAAUUGAGGCUGCUUCCAUCUCUUGGGGCAUUCCCAUUAGCUUCCUCAGCAUAAUUUUGCUUCCUAUAGUUGGGAAUGCAGCAGAACAUGCAGGUGCAAUCAUAUUUGCUUACAAGAACAAGCUGGAUAUAUCUCUGGCAGUUGCCCUGGGCUCUGCCACCCAAAUUUCAAUAUUUGUGGUCCCCUUAUGUGUGAUUGUUGCAUGGAUAAUGCAUAUCAAGAUGGAUCUCAGCCUUAGCAUCCUGGAAACCGCUUCUUUUGCUGUUUCAGUACUCGUUGUAGCCUUCACUUUGCAGCUGCUACUAUUAAACAGGAUGGAUCAUCACAUUACAUGAAAGGGGGUGUUCUUCUCUUUUUUUACACGGUUAUUGCUACAAGCCUUUUGGUCCUUCCUUAUAAAACCGAUAACGAUGAUCAAGCAAAUCUCAUUGGAUCAGGGCUUAUAUCGUCAGUUGGAUUUGCUGGUGCCUGAUAAUUUGAGAUGUCAACUCUGGUGUCUCAAAUAAAAAGAUUGUUCUUGUAAAUUUUUUAAUUCCUGGAAAACAGAUAUCGAAUCUGAAAAUUUUCUUCUAUAGAUUUUAAUGUAUGCCAACUACAUUGGAGUUGCAAGUUGUAAUCUAUCUGAUGAUAUAAUUUGAUUCUGCGGGUAUAGCUUGAAGAUUUAAAGGGUAUCAAAUAAGUAAUGGUUCUGUUAGUAUUAAACUAUACUCUAGUGGUACAAUUCAGAAAUAUGCAAAGGACUUGUUUGGUAAUUAGUUGUUAGCCAACUUUUAAAGCGAUUUACAGUCACUUUUUUUCGGAAUGUGACCGAACAACCAAUUCCGAAUGUGUAUCUAAUUGGUAAUGAAAACAGUGAUUAGAUUUUUAUUUUUUUUUUAUUUCUUUUGUGUGUGUGUUUUUGUGAUUUCAAUAAGUGAAACACAAAUUCUUACAAAACAUUUUUGUAAAUAAUGAAACAAAUCAAGCAAAUAAUUAAUAAUAAUAGCUAGUUGCCCAAUAUAAGAAGAGUUGGAUCAUCCCAAAUAUUUUUUAUUUUUUUUAAUUCAAUUUACAGUUUUAUAAUAAUGUGCAUAAAUAAUUGAAUGUUAA